rnacentral:rRNA from 1 species
UACAGAGGGUGCAAGCGUUAAUCGGAUUUACUGGGCGUAAAGCGCGCGUAGGCGGCUAAUUAAGUCAAAUGUGAAAUCCCCGAGCUUAACUUGGGAAUUGCAUUCGAUACUGGUUAGCUAGAGUGUGGGAGAGGAUGGUAGAAUUCCAGGUGUAGCGGUGAAAUGCGUAGAGAUCUGGAGGAAUACCGAUGGCGAAGGCAGCCAUCUGGCCUAACACUGACGCUGAGGUGCGAAAGCAUGGG